rnacentral:rRNA from 1 species
AACGCUGGUGGCGUGCUUAACACAUGCAAGUCGAACGAGAAAGUUUCCUUCGGGAAAUUAGUAAAGUGGCGCAAGGGUGAGUAUCACGUGAAUAAUCUGCCCUCGAGAUCGGGAUAACAUGGUGAAAACUAUGCUAAUACCGGAUAAGACCACAUUUCAUAAGAAAUGCGGUAAAAGGAGUCUCAAUCUUCACUUGAGGAUGAGUUCGCGCAACAUUAGCUUGUUGGUGAGAUAAAAGCUCACCAAGGAUACGAUGUUUAGCCGGCCUGAGAGGGUGAACGGCCACACUGGAACUGAGACACGGUCCAGACUCCUACGGGAGGCAGCAGUGGGGAAUAUUGCGCAAUGGGCGAAAGCCUGACGCACCAACCCCGUGUGAGCGAUGAAGGCUUUAGAGUCGUAAAGCUCUGUCAAAUGGGAAGAAUUUUGACGGUACCAUUAUAGGAAGCCCCGGCUAACUCCGUGCCAGCAGCCGCGGUAAUACGGAGGGGGCAAGCGUUGUUCGGAAUUAUUGGGCGUAAAGCGUAUGUAGGCGGCUAGGUAAGUCAGGCGUGCAAGCCCGUGGCUCAACCACGGAAUUGCGUUUGAAACUGCUUAGCUUGAGUACAGGAGAGGAAAGCGGAAUUCCCAGUGUAGCGGUGAAAUGCAUUGAUAUUGGGAAGAACAUCUGUGGCGAAGGCGGCUUUCUGGUCUGUUACUGACGCUGAGAUACGAAAGCCAGGGGAGCGAACGGGAUUAGAUACCCCGGUAGUCCCGGCCGUAAACGAUGGGCACUAGGUGCAGGAGGUAUCGAUCCCCUCUGUGCCGUAGCUAACGCGUUAA